GACGAACGCUGGCGGCGUGCUUAACACAUGCAAGUCGAACGGAAAGGCCCUGCUUUUGUGGGGUGCUCGAGUGGCGAACGGGUGAGUAACACGUGAGUAACCUGCCCUUGACUUUGGGAUAACUUCAGGAAACUGGGGCUAAUACCGGAUAGGAGCUCCUGCUGCAUGGUGGGGGUUGGAAAGUUUCGGCGGUUGGGGAUGGACUCGCGGCUUAUCAGCUUGUUGGUGGGGUAGUGGCUUACCAAGGCUUUGACGGGUAGCCGGCCUGAGAGGGUGACCGGCCACAUUGGGACUGAGAUACGGCCCAGACUCCUACGGGAGGAAGCAGUGGGGAAUAUUGCACAAUGGGCGGAAGCCUGAUGCAGCAACGCCGCGUGCGGGAUGACGGCCUUCGGGUUGUAAACCGCUUUCGCCUGUGACGAAGCAUGAGUGACGGUAAUGGGUAAAGAAGCACCGGCUAACUACGU
rnacentral:rRNA from 1 species